CCUACGGGGGGCAGCAAUUAGGAAUCUUGCGCAAUGGGCGAAAGCCUGACGCAGCGACGUCGCGUGACUGAUGAAGUCUUUCGGGAUGUAAAGGUCUUUUCUGGGGGAAGAAGGAUGUGACGGUACCCCAGGAAUAAGCCCCGGCUAACUACGUGCCAGCAGCCGCGGUAAUACGUAGGGGGCGAGCGUUGUCCGAAUUCACUGGGCGUAAAGCGCGCGUAGGCGGACUUUAAAGUUGGGGGUGAAAUCCCGAGGCUCAACCUCGGAACUGCCUUCAAAACUGGGAGUCUUGAGGUAUGGAGAGGGAAGUGGAAUUCCAGGUGUAGCGGUGAUAUGCGUAGAUAUCUGGAGGAACACCCGUGGCGAAGGCGGCUUCCUGGCCAUAUCCUGACGCUGAGGUGCGAAAGCUAGGGGAGCGAACG
rnacentral:rRNA from 1 species